AACGAACGCUGGCGGCGUGUUUAAGACAUGCAAGUCGCACGGAGUCAUUGAUGUAGCAAUACCUUGAUGGCUUAGUGGCGCACGGGUGAGUAACACGUGAAUUACAUGCCCUGCAGAGGGGGAUAGCCCAGGGAAACUUGGAUUAAUACCCCAUGGUCUCGCAAGAGUAAACGGUGGUCCCGCGCGAGCGGGACUGUCGCUGCAGGAUUGGUUCGCGCCCUAUCAGCUAGUUGGCGGGGUAACGGCUCACCAAGGCUACGACGGGUACCUGGUCUGGGAGGACGGUCAGGCAAACUGGAACUGAGACACGGUCCAGACACCGACGGGUGGCAGCAGUCGAGAAUUAUUCACAAUGGGGGCAAUCCUGAUGGUGCAACGCCGCGUGGAGGAUGAAGGUCUUCGGAUUGUAAACUCCUGUCAUCCGGGAGCAAGACCUGGGAGUGAAUAGCUCACAGGGUUGAUAGUACCGGAAGAGGAAGGGACGGCUAACUUCGUGCCAGCCGCCGCCGUAAAAC
rnacentral:rRNA from 1 species